GAACGCUGGCGGUAGGCCUAACACAUGCAAGUCGAACGGCAGCACAGUAAGAGCUUGCUCUUACGGGUGGCGAGUGGCGGACGGGUGAGGAAUACAUCGUAAUCUACUUUUUCGUGGGGGAUAACGUAGGGAAACUUACGCUAAUACCGCAUACGACCUACGGGUGAAAGCAGGGGAUCUUCGGACCUUGCGCGAUUGGAUGAGCCGAUGUCGGAUUAGCUAGUUGGCGGGGUAAAGGCCCACCAAGGCGACGAUCCGUAGCUGGUCUGAGAGGAUGAUCAGCCACACUGGAACUGAGACACGGUCCAGACUCCUACGGGAGGCAGCAGUGGGGAAUAUUGGACAAUGGGCGCAAGCCUGAUCCAGCCAUACCGCGUGGGUGAAGAAGGCCUUCGGGUUGUAAAGCCCUUUUGUUGGGAAAGAAAAGCAGCAGGUUAAUACCCCGCUGUUCUGACGGUACCCAAAGAAUAAGCACCGGCUAACUUCGUG
rnacentral:rRNA from 1 species